ACUCCGUGCUGUCCGUGAGCUAGCGUUUUCAUCAGACCGCGUCUCAGCGAAGCCGGUGCGAAACCGGCGCUGUCCCGCAACUGUGAUGCCCGCGACGAGCCGGGCUAGCCAGGUCGCCUGGACGCCGGUC
rnacentral:ncRNA from 2 species